AUUUACAGCCAUGCCACCCUUAACGUGUCCGAUCCCGUCUGAUCUCAGAAACUAAGCAAAGUCAGGCCUGGUUAGCAUUUGGAUGGGAGACCACCUACGAACAAAUAAAUAACAAAUA
rnacentral:rRNA from 1 species